ensembl:lncRNA
CUCCUCCAGCUGACUGUCCUAAUCUCAUCUGAAUCACUUCUUUUUAACCGCCAGAAGAGAUUUCUAAUGCCUCUGCUCAUCAAUGUCUCCACAGCAGUGACACCAUCAAACCAACACUCAGAGGAAGCAGUGACACUCAUUAAGAUAAAGAGCUCAUUUCAGUCGGGACACCAUGCAAAAGCCUCAGUGCUUUCCUAAAUUCUCUCCAAAUGCACCAUCAGGUUUCCAUAAAACGAAUCCCUCUGAAGCCACAAAGUGGGCCUUCGGGGCGACUGGCAUUUACAGCGACUCGGCACAAACCCACAGAGUCGUAUUGGCGAAGCGGCUCGGCUCAGAGACGUGCUGAAAAUAAUCCCGCUGAAGUUCCUGAAGGAGACGGACGAGGAGCAACACCUGACCGUCCCUCGCCAUCAGCAAAACUACACUCACAUUUCUAUGAGUCUGUGGAUAACAUCAGAAACCUUCAAAGAGAGUGAGGAGGCUUCGGCCUCGGGGAGGAGAAGAGCUGAGGAGUGUAAACCAGGUGUGAAACGUGGAACCAGGAAAAGAGGGAAAAAUCACACACAGGCUACAGUAACUGAGCAAAGAUAAAGACAAAGAAUAGCUGCCAUGAGCUCCAUGACGCAAUAACGCUCUCCUCUUAUCUGUGCGCUGUUGCCAAGUUAAACGCUGUGGAGAAAAACGUGGCAAAGCAAAUCCACGUUAUAAAUAGCUGGCUGAGGUACGCCCCAAUGAGACAUUCCUGAUAUCAGAUCAAGCCAAGAAUGGAACGCCACAGACCUCGCGUUCGGCCAGACGAGGAUCUGCAGUGCUGUGGGGCAGGGAAGAGCCGGGGAACGGGGUGAAACGGGUACACGAUGCAAACACACACCGUGUGCUGAACUGCUAAUACAACCUCAGCGAUCUUCACUAAUCAUCUAAAACCCUUUACGGCACAGUUCUGCAGACAGACUGGCGAUAUUCCCGAGUCAGUAGCGACUGUAUGGCAGCGGGAUUAGAAUAUGUAGAAUAUGCAGAAUAUGUUACAGUGCUGCAUACCGAUAUAUAUAUAGAUAUAUUAGUUUAAAAACUAACAAGUGGAAUCCUGUCAUCAUGUGUUUCAUUACAGAAAAAAAUCCCUAUUACAAAAAGUUUUUCAGGACUGAUUUAUUAAACAAAGUUCCUGACUCUCUACGUUCAGUUCUGUGUGUAAUGGAAAAUGUGAUGUGCAUUAUAGAGGUGCAGAAAAUAAAGAAAUAUCUGAAGCCUAGUUCCAGCUGUGGAAAUGAGUGUCUUUAACGUCCAGACGUUUCCAGACAACGAGUGUGUUAAAGACACUGCGUUCUUCUGACCAAGCGUAUUCCUUUAGCUUGUGAAUAUCUGAAACAGUUUCUUCAGCUCUCCUAGUCUCUCUCGCUCACACUCACACACCUGGAAUAGUGAGCUGUUGAGAAGCUCAUGUGAUGUAAUGUAAAGGAGAUAAUGUGUAAUGUGAAGGAGAACUGCAUCAUGAUGAAUAUUAACACACGAUAUAUUGUGCAGCUGCUGGAUCCUGAGCCACCAUCACACUCACACACCACACACUGCAGCUCUUCACUUCCACUCGCUCUGGAAUGCCGUGUGACGUCAUCUAUUUGGGCUCAGAUUUCCUUUGGAACUUUUGAAAACGGUUCAGCAAAAAAAAAAAAACGAUUCAGUUUUGAAAUAUCAAAAGUUACACUGCGAUAUUUAUGUGAAAUUUCCCCUGAACACAAACUUCACCAAAGUUUUAUCUGAAAAGGGAGAGAAAGAGAGAGAGAGAAAAAACGCUAGCAGUCCACGUCACUAAAGUCUGAUAAAUCAAUUAGACAAUCUGAUCUGGAGGAAUAAAAACUGUAGUGAAACAGACUGUACACAGUAAACUGUUCAGGGUGUUUAUGUUGAUUAGAUGGAAAGCUCUAGCGGUAGAACUGGACUUUCUGUACUGGAUCGCGGUUCUGAAUUGUUGGCAUCAUGCCAUCGCUGGUUUGCUUUGACGUGUCACUUAUAAAAAAAAAUCCGCUGCAUUUUUUGUUGGAAAUCUGCUCUGCAGUUUUAAUAUAGCGCCACAGAGUCGAUUAAGAGCGUUACAGAGUUGUGUUAGGAGUAUGUGUUAGGAGAUGAAUCCAGGCCAGAACUUUCCAGAACUUUCCGGACGGGCAAAAAGUCCGAACUUUUCAGAAAGUCCUCAACUGUGUGGUGAUCAGAGCUACCGGAAAUCAACCCGUUUAUAAAAGGUUUCUAAAGUGAAAAGUGAGAAAUAUAAUAGCGGAGAAAAGGAGAAGAGAGCGAGAGAGAGAGAAUAAAACCCAAAAACCAGCUCCAGACGCCAUGGAGCUCAGUGUGAAAACACACACACACACUUAAUACACACACAACACACACACACUUAAUACACAGAAGCAUAAAGAACAAGCCCGGCCGCGUAUAAAGGAUUGGAGUGGAAUAAUGGCUUAGGUUUCGAUUUCCAUCCACUCCGAAACUUCCGUUUCUCCAGCCGAGCAAUGAACCGGCGUCUUCUCCUCUUUCCUCUCCUCUUUCCUCUCUUUCAACUUUUCCCCCAAAUGUUCCUCACAGCUCCUAACCUCCUCCACAGCACACGCAGCCUCUCUAACUGUCCACAUACACACAUACUUUACUUACUUUAACUUCAGCAAAUCUCUCGCUAAUCCACGUGUAAGUCCUCUGUGACUGAAACUGAAUUAAUAGUCAUCCCCGAGCGGCUCCGUCCACAGUGGACCGACUGCGGGAUUCCGCCAUGUCAAUUAUGUGGCAGUGCGCGUGGGGGGGCAGAGGAGCCCACAGGAACCUGGAGAACCCAGAUGAGACAG